GUGGGGAAUCUUGCGCAAUGGGCGAAAGCCUGACGCAGCCAUGCCGCGUGAAUGAUGAAGGUCUUAGGAUUGUAAAAUUCUUUCACCGGGGACGAUAAUGACGGUACCCGGAGAAGAAGCUCCGGCUAACUUCGUGCCAGCAGCCGCGGUAAUACGAAGGGGGCUAGCGUUGCUCGGAAUUACUGGGCGUAAAGGGCGCGUAGGCGGACAGCUUAGUCAGAGGUGAAAGCCCAGGGCUCAACCUUGGAAUUGCCUUUGAUACUGGCUGUCUUGAGUUUGGGAGAGGUGAGUGGAACUCCGAGUGUAGAGGUGAAAUUCGUAGAUAUUCGGAAGAACACCAGUGGCGAAGGCGACAUACUGGCUCAUUACUGACGCUGAGGCGCGAAAGCGUGGGGAGCAAACAGGAUUAGAAACCCGAGUAGUCC
rnacentral:rRNA from 1 species